rnacentral:rRNA from 1 species
UACGUAGGGGUGCGAGCGUUUGUCCGGAAUUAUUGGGCGUAAAGAGCUCGUAGGCGGUGUGUCACGUCGGCCGUGAAAACCUGCAGCUUAACUGUGGGCGUGCGGUCGAUACGGGCAUCACUGGAGUUCGGCAGGGGAGACUGGAAUUCCUGGUGUAGCGGUGAAAUGCGCAGAUAUCAGGAGGAACACCGGUGGCGAAGGCGGUUCUCUGGGCCUGACCUGACGCUGAGGAGCGAAAGCGUGGGGAGCGAACAGG